UCUCGUUUUUUGUUGCAGUACACACUAAUGAGAGAUCCAGUGAUACUUCCAAGCUCAAGAAUCACAGUUGAUCGACCCAUCAUCCAACGUCAUCUUCUGAGCGACAAUCAUGAUCCAUUUAACCGAGCACAUUUGACAUCGGAUAUGUUGAUACCGGACAUCGAGUUGAAGACGAAAAUCGAUGAGUUUGUUAAGUCGCAUCAGUCUAAGAAACGGACAACAAGUGGAGAAGAUAGCAGCAACAAGGAGAGGAUACAGACUACAAGCAGUAAUAUGUUAAUUGAUUAAUUUAUGUGUUCAAAACAAAAUGAUAACAGAGGCAGCAUAAACACUCUUUUCUAAUACUUUUGUUAGGCUUUCUUUUCUAUUAGAAUUGUGACUUAAUAUUAUGUCUUAAGCGUGUUAAGCUA